AAGGGUGCUGACUGAUUCUUUGGUCAAUAAGAUAAUCACCAAGGACUGUACAGUAAAAUAAACAAGAUAAUUUACUAAAGAGGAAAUGCAGGUGAUGAACAGCAGAGACCCAAUCAUCAUGGAAGCAGCCCAGAGAUGAGUCACAGCAGGAAGCCACUCCACCAUCAGGGCUGCAGAAAGUGGCAUUGGGAGAGGGCAGAGGAUGGGCACUUGGUGGCAGCU
rnacentral:lncRNA from 10 species